rnacentral:rRNA from 1 species
GACGAACGCUGGCGGCGUGCCUAAUACAUGCAAGUAGAACGCUGAAGAGAGGAGCUUGCUCUUCUUGGAUGAGUUGCGAACGGGUGAGUAACGCGUAGGUAACCUGCCUUGUAGCGGGGGAUAACUAUUGAAAACGAUAGCUAAUACCGCAUAACAAUGUAUGACACGUUUCAUUUAUUUAAAAUUGGCAAUUUCUCCACUACCAGAUGGACCUGCGUUGUAUUAGCUAGUAGGUGAGGUAACGGCUCACCUAGGCGACGAUACAUAGCCGACCUGAGAGGGUGAUCGGCCACACUGGGACUGAGACACGGCCCAGACGAAUACGGGAGGAAGCAGUAGGGAAUCUUCGGAAAUGGGGGCAACCCUGACCGAGCAACGCCGCGUGAGUGAAGAAGGUUUUCGGAUCGUAAAGCUCUGUUGUAAGUCAAGAACGAGUGUGAGAGUGGAAAGUUCACACUGUGACGGUAGCUUACCAGAAAGGGACGGCUAACUACGUG